rnacentral:rRNA from 1 species
GUGGGGAAUUUUGGACAAUGGGCGAAAGCCUGAUCCAGCCAUGCCGCGUGCAGGAUGAAGGCCUUCGGGUUGUAAACUGCUUUUGUACGGAACGAAAAGACUCCUUCUAAUAAAGGGGGUCCAUGACGGUACCGUAAGAAUAAGCACCGGCUAACUACGUGCCAGCAGCCGCGGUAAUACGUAGGGUGCAAGCGUUAAUCGGAAUUACUGGGCGUAAAGCGUGCGCAGGCGGUUAUAUAAGACAGAUGUGAAAUCCCCGGGCUCAACCUGGGAACUGCAUUUGUGACUGUAUAGCUAGAGUACGGUAGAGGGGGAUGGAAUUCCGCGUGUAGCAGUGAAAUGCGUAGAUAUGCGGAGGAACACCGAUGGCGAAGGCAAUCCCCUGGACCUGUACUGACGCUCAUGCACGAAAGCGUGGGGAGCAAACAGGAUUAGAUACCCCAGUAGUC